UUGAAGAACAGAACUGAUUGCAUCUAGGAUACUAGCCUCACCACCACACAAUCUGGUCUCAGGUGUAAGCUGGGACCCUACAACCACUUGGGACAGAGACACCAAGACUCCAGACAUCCUGGCUGUAGAUUACUGGAAGCCACCCCCUCCCCUCCUACACAGUAUUAAAUUCUGGUGCCCACCUCAUUAAGAAGACCAAGAGGGCCAGGUCCUUGGUUUCACUGUCUCUAUGUGGCCAGGAGGAGGGCACAUGAUGGAAGUCCUUCAAUGGGAAGAAUAUUUUGCUAGACUUUGACCAUGAGAAAAAUUCCCAAGACUGGUUUUGUCACCUUCCAGAGGAUUCUCUGAGCUCACCAGGUCCUUUCACUAAAUACCCUGUUUUGCCUGAUAAUUACGCCUGUUCUUAUUAUUGCAACCAAGAAUCUAAGACUGAUAAAGGUGUUAAAGACAAAGUGAAAAUGAUGAUUGAUAGUUGCAUUAUAUAUGUACAAACUGUCCUGCAUCCAAGUAAAAUUAAAAUGUUAAUCCUAUGU